ACAGCACAACAUCAUUUCAGUUCCUUCUGCUCUGAAUGACAGAUUUACGUUAAUCUGGACCUGGAGGAACUCUGAAUUAUUUAUGCAGAAUCUCAUUUUAUUCCUUCACGACGACAUUUGAGCCAAACUAAGUUACAAAGUCAGUUACAUGGAAUAUUAUUCCAAUUAUUUUAAUGGCUGCAUUUCUUUUUAAAUGAAAUCAACCUUUGUUUUAAAAAACAUCAGGUUUAGAUUAACAUGCAUGAAAAAUAAUAUCUGCAGGUCAGAUUAAUUACUGCUUAUUCAGCAUAAAUGAAGUCAUCAACCAAUCAGCUUCUUAAAGGAGCUUCUCAUUUCAGCCACACUUAAGACGCUAAUAACUAUUACUAUUGGAUAAGAAAAAAAAAAAAGCUCCAAACCAACUGAACAUGUAAUCAGCUCUUUAUAAAUCAUAAAAUGACUCAUUAUUCUACAUUUUUAAGAAGGCUGAGCUCAGUCAGCAAGCUGAAUAUUUAGUUAUCAAACUAAACCUUCAUUUCAAGGCUAAAUAUAACUAGAUAUUUGGCUCUACAAACUAAAACAGCUGAGCCAAUUAUUUAGUUGACCAGAAAAUUAUUUAGCUUUAAAUUAAAUAUUUAGCAAGUGGGUCAGU